AACUUCGUUGGCCUAGUGGUUAGAUCGUCCGCCUCAGAUAUGGGAGGUCGUGGGUUUGAACCCCAGUCAGGUCA